CCUACGGGCGGCAGCAGUGAGGAAUAUUGGUCAAUGGGCGUAAGCCUGAACCAGCCAAGUCGCGUGAGGGAUGAAGGUUCUAUGGAUCGUAAACCUCUUUUAUAAGGGAAUAAAGUGUGGGACGUGUCCUGUUUUGUAUGUACCUUAUGAAUAAGGAUCGGCUAACUCCGUGCCAGCAGCCGCGGUAAUACGGAGGAUCCGAGCGUUAGCCGGAUUUAUUGGGUUUAAAGGGUGCGUAGGCGGCCUUUUAAGUCAGCGGUGAAAGUCUGUGGCUCAACCAUAGAAUUGCCGUUGAAACUGGGAGGCUUGAGUAUGUUUGAGGCAGGCGGAAUGCGUUGUGUAGCGGUGAAAUGCUUAGAUAUCACGCAGAACCCCGAUUGCGAAGGCAGCCUGCCAAGCCAUGACUGACGCUGAUGCACGAAAGCGUGGGGAUCAAACAGGAUUAGAUACCCCGGUAGUC
rnacentral:rRNA from 1 species